CCUACGGGAGGCAGCAGUGGAGAAUAUUGCGCAAUGGGCGAAAGCCUGACGCAGCGACGCCGCGUGAGGGAUGAAGGUCUUCGGAUCGUAAACCUCUGUCAGCAGGGAAGAACGGUCACUGUGCUAAUCAGCAGUGAAUUGACGGUACCUGCAAAGGAAGCACCGGCUCACUCCGUGCCAGCUGCCGCGGUAAUACUGAGGGUGCGGGCGUUCAUCGGAAUUACUGGGCGUACAGCGCUCGUAGGCGGUAUGUCAAGUCAAGGGUGAAGUCCCCGCGCUCAACGUGGGAACUGCCUUUGAAACUGGGAAACUGGAGUGUGUGAGAGGAUAGUGGAAUUCCAGGUGUAGGAGGGAAAUCCGUAGAUAUCUGGAGGAACAUCAGUGGCGAAGGCGACUAUCUGGCACAUAACUGACGCUGAGGAGCGAAAGCGUGGGUAGCAAACAGGAUUAGAUACCCUUGUAGUC
rnacentral:rRNA from 1 species